UCCCUACGGGGGGCAGCAGUGGGGGAUAUUGCACAAUGGGGGAAACCCUGAUGCAGCAACGCCGCGUGAGUGAAGAAGGUCUUCGGAUUGUAAAGCUCUGUUCUUGGUGAAGAUAAUGACGGUAGCCAAGGAGAAAGCUCCGGCUAACUACGUGCCAGCAGCCGCGGUAAUACGUAGGGAGCGAGCGUUGUCCGGAUUUACUGGGUGUAAAGGGUGCGCAGGCGGCUCUGCAAGUCAGGCGUGAAAGCUAGGGGCUCAACCCCUAAACUGCUUUGGAAACUGCCAUGCUAGAGUGCUGGAGAGGU
rnacentral:rRNA from 1 species